GCCAGGUGUGGUGGUGCAUGCCUGGAGUCUUAGCUACUAGGGAGGCUUAGGCAGGAGGAUCACUUGAGCCCAGGAGUUUGAGGCUGCAGUGAGCCAUGAUUGCACCACUGCACUCCAGCCUGGGCAACACAGUAAGAUCCUGCCUUAA
rfam:Homo sapiens chromosome X, GRCh38 reference primary assembly.